UUCCCUCUGCCGGUUUCGUCAGGUCGACCUAAAUGAAUCCCGAACGGUAACGAACCAGGGGCCCACUUUUGGGCGUGGUGUGCAGACCCGAACGACUUCAUCGGGGAGCCUAAAGCGUCCCUCUCGGGCCCCACCUAGCAGUUGCUAGGGGUUCAUGUUGUCGAUCAACGUACUCGGCGGUAAGGAACU
rnacentral:other from 1 species